rnacentral:rRNA from 1 species
GACGAACGCUGGCGGCGUGCUUAACACAUGCAAGUCGAACGAAGUGGCGAACGGGUGAGUAACGCGUAAUCAACCUGCCCUUCAGAGGGGGACAACAGUUGGAAACGACUGCUAAUACCGCAUACUGAAGGUGGGGAUUGCGUCUGAUCAGCCAGUGGGGGGUGUAACGGCCCACCAAGGCGGAGAGCAUGAGCAGGUCUGAGAGGAUGAACGGGCACAUUGGGAGUGAUACACGGCCCAGACCCCUACGGGAAGCAGCAGGUGGGAAUCUUCCGCAAUGGACGAAAGUCUGACGGAGCAACGCCGCGUGAGUGAUGACGGCCUUCGGGUUGUAAAGCUCUGUUAAUCGGGACGCGGUACCGGAAUAGAAAGCCACGGCUAACUACGUGCCAGCAGCCGCGGUAAUAC